ACGAAACUUGCCCCGAGAUGAGUUCUCCCUGAGACUUUAAGUCUCCUGAAGGAACGUUAAAGACGAUGACGUUGAUAGGCCGGGUGUGUAAGCGCAGCGAUGCGUUGAGCUAACCGGUACUAAUGAACCGUGAGGCUUAACCUU
rnacentral:rRNA from 1 species